GCAGAAGCAAUGGAUUUGAGUGUCCACACACGUAAUUGAAGGUUGCAAAGAAGGAUUGGACACAGGGAUGCACAGUUUGCAGUUGUGCUGGAGGUAAUCUCAUAGUAUAUCACAAGGUAAUUUUAUACAACUAAAUAUUGGUAUGCAAAAAGACAUAGGGAGGCCUAAAUCCUUUAUAUACAUCUAUUGUCAUAGGCUGCAUUUUCUUAUUUGUGUGGCCUUACUGUAUUUCUACAAGAAUUUCUGUGCUAAGCUAUAAAACAUCAUCUGAAAACCAUCCGAGAGUGUGGGGAACUGAAGGCCCUGCUUGGUUACAUACUUAUUGCCCAAAAGCUGUUCAUCAUGAUGAGAUACUUCUAUCAAUGAUGCAGCAGGUGCUCAUGAAGCUUCCCUUUGUCCAUGAUCUGAACUUUGUUUAUGCUAUUAUGACUUAGAAAACAAAAGGGGUUAAGCUGCCAAUGAUAUAUAUAACACCGGAAGUGUGUAGAUUUGUUUAUAUCUUAACUAAUUGAGCUAUACCGACAUAUUUUAAUAGAUUCUUUAUACUAUUGUUGUUCUCACAGCAGGUCUGUUUAUAAGAACAACAGAGAAAUUGUGUU